rnacentral:tRNA from 1 species
GGGUUUUAUGGUAGCCUCUCGUUUACACCGAGUAGGUCACUGGUUCGAGUCCAGUAUCGCCCA